rnacentral:rRNA from 1 species
GAUGAGCGCUGGCGGCGCGCCUAACACAUGCAAGUCGAACGAUUAAAGCACCUUCGGGUGUGUAUAAAGUGGCGAACGGCUGAGUAACACGUGGGCAACCUGCCCCUUUCAUUGGGAUAGCCACGGGAAACCGUGGAUAAUACCGAAUACUUCGAGACUUCCGCAUGGAAGACUCGAGAAAGCUCCGGCGGAGAGGGAUGGGCCCGCGGCCUGUUAGCUUGUUGGUGGGGUAACGGCCUGCCAAGGCAAUGAUGGGUAGCUGGGUUGAGAGACCGACCAGCCAGAUUGGGACUGAGACACGGCCCAGACUCCUACGGGAGGCAGCAGUGGGGAAUCUUGCACAAUGGGCGAAAGCCUGAUGCAGCGACGCCGCGUGCGGGAUGAAGGCCUUCGGGUUGUAAACCGCUUUCAGCAGGGGCGAGGCGAAAGUGACGGUACCUGCAGAAGAAGCCCCGGCUAACUACGUG